GACAGAGGUGGCGAGCGUUGUCCGGAAUCACUGGGCUUAAAGGGCGCGUAGGCGGUUUUGCAAGUCUGGCGGUGGAAUCUCGGGGCUUAACCCCGGGGCUGCCCUGGAAACUGCAUGACUUGAGUAAGCGAGGGGAGGGCGGAAUUCCCGGUGUAGCGGUGAAAUGCGUAGAUAUCGGGAGGAAGGCCGGUGGCGAAGGCGGCCCUCUGGCGCUUAACUGACGCUGAGGCGCGAAAGCGUGGGGAGCAAA
rnacentral:rRNA from 1 species